UUUUGCAUUAACCAUUUUAGAUAAUAUACUGUUGUAAAUAUCAAAAUAAAAUAUUAUUAUAGACGAAUAAUAUUAAAAUUCAACAGAUUUUGUUAUAUUUAUUCUCAAUAAAUUCAUUUUUUUAUUGGAAAGUUUAUUAAGAUUAUGUUAUAUUUAUUCUCAACAGAUUUUUCUUAUAACUAAAAUAAAAAUUUAGAUUUAUAGUUAUUUAAUUACUAUUAAUAUUUUUAUGAAUUCUUAAGAUUUGCUUGGAAUGUUAUAUAUAUUUUUUACAUCACUUGAAAUGUUAUAUAUUUGAUAGAUUAUGACUUUUUAUACAGUAGAUUUUUAGUAUCUCUGUUUUAAUAGAGUAAGAUAUUCAUCAACUGUUUUAGGAUUAUUUUGAAACUCAUAUUGUGCAAAGAAUAUUUUCUGUUGACCAAGACAUUAAGAAAAUAAUUGGAUUAUUUUGUAAUUAUAUUGUCAAUGUACGUUGUAUAAAUAGAUGCUACAACCUAUGCAUCCAUAAUCAUCUCCAUUAAACAGAUUAGUAGGACAAUAUAAACAAAUUAAAUGGAGAAAAUCUCAGCAUUUCUUGUCAUCCUCUUCCUGGUCUCGUCAUGCAUGGUGAAAGUGACUGUGACAAUGCCUGCAAUAAAAUGUCAAACAGAUGAAGAUUGUUUGAAGAAAUAUGGAAGAUGUAAGGUCACAGGGGCUCUGCCCAUUUGCCCUCAUUACAACUGUAUCUGUUACCAUGAAAUGCAUACUCCUUCAUUGUCAACCUCCAACUCUUGAUGUUAUUCAUAUAUAUAUUCGCGUUGAUUUGAAUAAUGAAAAGGCUAUACAUAUAACUCUUUUGUUGUUAUGUUCUCUCCAUGCAUCUUCUUUCUACAAUGUAUCUCUCUAUAAAUCACUACUAUUAAAUUAGGAACAUGACCUAUUGAUAUA